rnacentral:rRNA from 1 species
UGGGGAAUAUUGCACAAUGGAGGGAACUCUGAUGCAGCAACGCCGCGUGCGGAAUGACGGCCUUCGGGUUGUAAACCGCUUUCAGCCAUGACGAAGCUUUUGUGACGGUAGUGGUAGAAGAAGCACCGGCUAACUACGUGCCAGCAGCCGCGGUGAUACGUAGGGUGCGAGCGUUGUCCGGAAUUAUUGGGCGUAAAGAGCUUGUAGGCGGUUUGUCGCGUCGAAAGUGUAAACUCAGUGCUUAACGCUGAGCCUGCUUUCGAUACGGGCUGACUAGAGGAGGGUAAGGGAGAAUGGAAUUCCCGGUGGAGCGGUGGAAUGCGCAGAUAUCGGGAGGAACACCAGUGGCGAAGGCGGUUCUCUGGACCUUUCCUGACGCUGAGAAGCGAAAGCGUGGGUAGCAAACAGG